rnacentral:rRNA from 1 species
CCUACGGGGUGCAGCAGUGGGGAAUAUUGCACAAUGGGCGCAAGCCUGAUGCAGCGACGCCGCGUGGGGGAUGAACGGCCUUCGGGUUGUAAACCUCUUUCAGCAGGGACGAAGCGAAAGUGACGGUACCUGCAGAAGAAGCACCGGCCAACUACGUGCCAGCAGCCGCGGUAAUACGUAGGGUGCGAGCGUUGUCCGGAAUUACUGGGCGUAAAGAGCUCGUAGGUGGUUUGUCGCGUUGUUCGUGAAAACCGGGGGCUUAACCCUCGGCGUGCGGGCGAUACGGGCAGACUAGAGUACUGCAGGGGAGACUGGAAUUCCUGGUGUAGCGGUGGAAUGCGCAGAUAUCAGGAGGAACACCGGUGGCGAAGGCGGGUCUCUGGGCAGUAACUGACGCUGAGGAGCGAAAGCGUGGGGAGCGAACAGGAUUAGAUACCCUGGUAG